AAAAUAAAAUAAUCCCAGAAAAAUAAUUAAAAUGGCCUUAUUACAACCCAAAACCAAAUAAUAAUAUUAAUAAGAUAAAACUUAUAAAGAAAUAAAUCGGCUACUUAUUGCAAUUAAAAGAAACAAAAAUAGUAGUGUGGUCAUCUCCGAGUCCCUCGCAGCUUCAAACCAUCUAAGCUUAGGGAUUACCUACACAGUUAGAAAUGGGGUGAGUUUACGAAAACUCAGUGUGUAAUCCCCAACAACAAACAAACAAUGAAUAACACAGUGUCAAUACAAUCUGGGCCAAAGCCCUAUUCAGUAACAGUAUAGUCUGGGCCUUAGCCCUUAAAUAGUAGCAAUAUGGGCCUAAGCCCUAAUUCAGUCUCGACAUAUACUGGGCCGAAGCCUUUUCAUAAAUCAUAUCACUGGCCGAAGCCUUUACUGUAAGAGAUAUGGCUCAUAGGUCAAUUUCAAUAUCACAUGUACUAUCAAUGAAUGUAUGCAAGCCCAUUUGGGGAGACUACUCAACCCACCAUCCGCUACUCUCCACUCGUACCAACCAACACACCAUGUGGGGAAUAACUCAACCCACCCAACCAAACUCUCUACUGGCAGCAUAGCUGCUUUAUCAUAUAACUGGAGGCCUAGCUUCUUUUAAUAACUAGGGCAAAGCCCUUUCUGAUAAACUGGGGCAAAGCCCUUUUUCGGUAAACUGGCGCAGAGCCCUUUUAGCACUUCCUCCAUCAAUAUAACCCAUCUCCCAUGCAAUAUGUCAUGUAUGCAGAAUGUCAUGCCCAUAGUUGAAUCAAACAAUCACAGUCAAGUCAUUCAUAUCACCAACAUAUAUUCACAAUCAAUCCGUCAACCACACAGUCCAAGUCAGUCACUUGCCCACAAGGGCAAAACAGUCAUUUUUCAUAUUAUAAGGGUAUUUUCAUAAUUUUACCAAAAAUCAGGGUUUUCCAUGUUCGUUACGAUUGUCAAUAUUUCUUAGUGUUUAAUCAAUGAUCUUUAACCCACUUAUCAAAUUCAGGCUUUUGGGCCCAAAACCCCUAAUGGGCCCUACGAAUGUUGAUUUAGCCCACUGAGCCUGCUUAACCCAAAUUUUACAACAAUACUAACCGUGUUAACAUGCAACUUUUCCAAAUUCCAUUUUCUAUCAAUUUUACCCAAAUGGGCCCAAAAGCCCAUUUGGUCCAAUUUUUGCCCAUUGAGGCCCAACUUACCAUCGUGCACAAAAUUGAGUUCUUACCCGUUCCAUCGAUCCAAACACUGAUCUUAUCGUAUUUAUCGCAUCUAUACCCACAUGCAACAUUACAAGUUCCCGAAAUGCCAGUAUUUUAGCAUUUCGGCUUCUCAGCAGAUAUUAAUCUAAGCUACUACGAGGGUUAGUACACACCUGUUAUGGGUUGAAGUUGAAACAUUUCCAUAAUCAAUCACCUACGAUAACCACCACCUGUCACUCAAACUUAACUAAUCCAAUAUCAAUAUAUGUAAAUCCUAAGCACAUCAGUCAUACGGAACAUAAGGGCAUAUUCAUCAUUUUACCAUACAAGGGUAUUACAGUCACUUUACCCUACAAGGGCUUUACGGUCUUUUUACCUAUUAGGGAUAUUUUAGUCAUUUCAUCCUACAAGGGUGUUUUGGUAAAUCUACAAACCAAGGGUAUUUCAGUAAUUUUGUAAACAAAUGGUAUUUCUAUAAUUUUUAGAAAGUCAAAGGUAUUUCUGUAAUUUUGUAAAUCAGGGGUAUUUUGGUAAUUUUACAAAUUGAGGGUAUUUCGAUAAUUUCACAAACUAGUGGUAUUUCGAUAAUUUUACAAACUAGGGGUAUUUUGGUAAUUUUACAAACUAGGGGUAUUUUGGUAAUUUAAUCCUACAGGGGUAUUUCAGUAAUUUCACAAUCGAGGGUAAAAUGGUAAUUUUGUAAACUGAGGGUAAAAUAGUAAUUUUGUAAAUCGAGGGUAAAAUGCUAAUUCUAUAAAUCAAGGGUAGAAUGGUAAUUCUACUAAUCGAGGGCAUUUCAGUAAUUUGGUAAACUAAAGUAUUCUAAACAGGGAUAACAAUACAAAUGGGCCUAAUGCCUAUUCUUGGCCCAAAUAGGCCCACACGCUCGUGUGGCCCUUUUAGCCCAAAUCUAACCACAAAUGUGAGAUUCACCUAGCCUAGUCCAAUAUUUACUACACAAUCAAACAACUUAUCCAAUUGGGCCCGUCGGCCCAUUAGGCCCACAUAACCCCUUUCGGCCAAUCGCGGCCCGAAGUAGCCAUCCUACAACUAGAGUAGUGAGAAAAUACACACCUGAUAGGAGACUGGAGUUAAUCCACGCUCCAGCACUCUUAGCUGACGCCCAACCCAAACGAGCACGCCAUACAACGAAAGGGAUCAGCCAAGAAAAAGUACCUUUACUCUCCUCAUGGUUCCCUCUAUUUAAAGCCAGCUUUGCAUCCACUCUUAUGUUAGCUUCCCGAUGUGGGAUCCCUCCAACAUUAGAGUUUAAAUUCAACACCAACUCUUACCACCCCCUGUUAGCAAAAUAAAUGCUCCUUGCUUGCCAUGGGAUUCGAACCCAUGCCUCCCCUCAAAUGCUCCACACGCUACUUGCCACUAAGCCACAAGGCUUUUUGUGUCAUAUUUUAUCCCCAAUUAAUUAUAAGGUCUAAAGGCCACAGUCCAGGUUCUCUUAAAAAAAACCAAAAUAAAUUGCAAGAGCCAAGGCUUGAACCCAGGCUCCCAUACAACCUUAAUGACGCCACAACCACUAGACUACAAGCUUCCUUGUGUCAUUUAUUUAACACAAUAAUUUAAAAACCCUAUCCAAGCAUCCAGGUUUUUUUAACUUAAUACUAAAAUUUUUGCUAAAGCCCAAGUUUGAACCCAAGAUUUCUCCAACACUUCUCAAAGCCAUUAACCACUAAAGCAAACAUUUAAUUGUGUUAUUUCAUUGCACAAUUAAAUACCUAUAUACAACCUCCUUACGAACCCGCACUCAAGGCCCAAUACUUCUAGGCCCAAAUUUAGGGUGUUACAACGAUUGAUGACGAUAUCUCCCACGCGAUAAUCCUACAAUCGAUCACUAACACAUUAGACUUACGAAUUAACGAUAAUUAACAUAAAUCCACGUCAACUAACCCAAUCAUCACACAAGUUAGUCAUUUACGCACGAGGGGCAAAAUAGUCAUUUAACACCCUAGGGGCAAAAUGGUAAUUUUACCCCACAAGGGUAUCUCAGUAAUUCUACCUUACAGGGUAUUUCGAUAAUUCUACCUUACAGGGGUAUUUCAGUAAUUCUACCCUACAGAGGUAUUUCAGUAAUUCUACCCUACAGGGGUAUUUCGGUAAUUCUACCUAUAGGGGUAUUUCGGUAAUUCUAAAACUUAUCCACUUGGGCCUACGGACCCAUUGGGACCACAUGGCCUAUUUCAGUCCAUCACGGCCCGAAAUAGCCGUCCUACUGCUAGAGUAAUGAGAAAUACACACCUGUUAGGAGACUGCAGUUAAUCCGUGCUCCAAACACUCUUAGCUGACACCCAACCCAAACGAGCACGUCACAAAGCGAAGGGGAUCAGCCAAGAAGGGUAUGCCUACUCUCCUCAUGGUUUGCUCUAUUUAAAGCCAGCUCUCCAUCUACUCUUAUGUUAGCUUCCUGAUGUAGGAUCCCUCCAUCACCAGAGUUUAAAACCAACACCAACUCUUGCCGUCCCAACAUAGCAAAAUAAUCAACCUUUGCGUGCCAAGGGAUUCGAACCAAAGUCCUCUCACAUGCCAACUCACGCCACCACCACUAGGCCAUCAACUCAUUUGUCAUAAAUCCAACACAUUAAACUUUAAAGCGCACCUACUUGCUUCCAGAUUUAUUGAAAAGAAAAACCAAAAUAUAUUGCAAAAGCAAGACUUGAACCUUGGACCCCUUGCUUCCUCUAUGGUGUCACUUCCUUGUCCCCUAAGUGGCGCCACCUUGCCACUACACCACACUCCUUUUUGUGUCAUCUUUUACCCCUUUACUCUUAAAGGCUCAAACGCCAAUUGCAUCACCUGUUCAUAAAAUUAAAAUUUCGAAGACUACCACGGAUUUAACUUAAGUUUGGGCCUUCCAAAGGCCCACUAACCUACUAAAAUAUAUAUUUUAACCAACCAGAACACACACAAAUUUUAAAAAUCACAGAAACACAGAAAACCCGAAAAUUGGGGCGUUACAUCAUUCAUCAUGUGGAGAAAGGCCUCCUAAGCCCCUUCUCCUCCUCCCUGACUAACCGUGGGAGGUCGAUUAUUGGAUGGUACCGUCCCUUCGGUGGCAGACGGCACGUUACUUUCUACAUCGUUCGCCAUAGUUCGAUCGGGAUCCAUCACUAUAUGAAAACACAUAAAAAAUCAGGAGCCGUCACACUAUCACAAUUUAUCUAUGGCAUGUAUAUCUAGACUCGUACACACACUAUGUUAGUCUGAAAACUGACUAAACCGUAACUCUGAUACCACUAAAUGUAACUACCCGGGUCCCACGUCGGGUCUGAAAAUGAGGCAUUACCUAACUUAAAUUUAUGCAUAUAAAUUUUCUUAUAACACCAAAUCAAGGUCAAAUUAAAACUUUUUCAAUUUUAUUUAUAAACUCCUUAAUAUGAGCUUACGGGACUUAAAAUAUUCAUUUAAGCCCAUUCGGGAUCAAUCCGGGUUCUAAAAACGAACUCUGAAAAUUACUUUUAACAUAGGGGCACACGCCCGUGUAGGAGGAGCAUCACGCCCAUGUGGCUCAUACAGCCUAAGAAAUACAGGGACAUGCCCGUUUCUCAUACCCGUGUGGAAGUAAUUUUAAAUGCACACCUACAGGGAUUUUCACACGGCCUGGAACACGCCCGUGUCUCUGGCCCGUGUCCUUUGCACGGCCAUGACACGCCCGUGUCUUAGGCCGUGUGCAAAAACCUGGACAUUCUGUUUCUGACGUCAGCAAUCCUUAAAGACCACACAGCCAAGGCACACGCCCGUGUGCUAGGCCGUGUCCUUCACACGGCUGAGACACAUGGCCGUGUCUCUACCCGUGUGUUUACUACUAUGCAUACUGACUUACAAUUUUUACGUGCAUGGGACACACGGCUAUCUCACACGCCGAUGUGGUGGACCGUGUGUAACACACGGCCUAGACACAAGCCCGUGUGCCUACCCGUGUGGACAACUUAAGGCCAUUUACCAAGCCUUUUUGUCACCCUUUCUUAUGUAACCUGCACAAAAAUCAUUCUAUACUAACAUAAGAGCACAUCAUAUAGCCAAAAUAACCACAAUGGAUAACAUUUCAUUUAUGCAAUUUACUCAUCCAUGAAAAUAUCAUCUUCUAUUUAUAUAUCAAAAUGAGUACUGACAAUCAUCGAUAGCCUUAUACAGAAUGAGUAUCAUAAUCAUCAUAUGAGCCAACACAUUAUGACUAACUAACAAAAACACUAAACAAAGACUCGAGUCCCUAUACAUGCCAGAAAACAAAACAAGGAAACUAGCUAUACCAAGGACUUGAGUGAUAGUGUGAUCGAAGGUUUUGACGUUACUGGAUCCUCGAUGAUAGCUUGGCGGCACUAUAUGGAAAGAAAAGAAAGGAGGGUAAGCAUGGGAGCUUUGUAAGUACAUAUAUGAAAAUAAUGUGUAAUUAAAAGAAAACAUUUUUCCAAACAAUAAAUUGACGGCUUAAUAGAUUUAGAUCACUUAGACUUCUCGAUCUUAUUCUUCCUUUCUUUCACUUAUACUUUAAGGCACCUCAUCACGGGCUCAAGCCCUAUCCAUGGGUUCUGUUUACGUACCUCAUUGAAUUUUCAUCAACUCAAUCUUCGUGUUACCCGUUGAACUUCGCAAUACAUAUGGAUAGGCGAGGAAAUUUGCGUCUACAUGCCAUAUAAGAAUUUUGGGCUACCUUGUGCUAUGAAACGCUCUCUUUUGAGCUACUCAUAGGCCUUUUUAUCAAUUCAGGACCUGGACCCCAUAGCUAUCAUCUAACGUUUGCUCAUUGAGCCACUCACGAGUCUGUACACAAAGUUAGUAUCCAGACCUACGUCACCUAUAGUAUUCAUCUCAUGAACUCAGACUCAACUCAAUAGUUCAGACCACAUAAUUUUUGUAGCAUGCCCUUUUGUACCCUAUGCUAUGUCUAAUGUUCAAUAGGAUUCCACAUCUAAACGAAUAGCAUCAUUAGACAACAUGUCAUUUUACACAAUCAUGGCAACAAAUAGACUGUAGAUACAUAACAAUAAGCCAAAUAUACAUGUAUAUUAUCAAAGUAUUUUAAAGUAAAGUUCGUUAACACAUUAUUUACAUAUGUACUUACCUCGAUACAAAAUGAUGAAGACGAGCUUAAUCCUCGUAAACUUUAUCCUUACCCCAAUCAAGACUAGAAUCAUGUUUCUCUUGAUCUAAAUUAAUAAAAUUCAUUUAUUUCAUCAACAUAUCGAUUUAUACACUCAAAAUUUCAUAAUUGGGCAAAUUGACCAUUUCACCCCUAGACUUUCACAAAAUGACCAUUUUACCCCAAUGCUCGAAAAUCGAUUUUUAUUAAAUUCUUCAUAUUAUAAGCCUAGAUGAACCCUUUUUACUCUUACAGCAAUCCAACAUUUCCACUAUUUCACACAUUUAUCUUUUAUUUUUCAACUUAUACAAAUUAGUCCCUAAUAGGGUUUUCAUGAAAAAUUCAUUCACAAAAGUUGUUUAUUACCCAUCUAAGACUCAUAUUCUUCCAUAAAAUUUCAAUUAACAACACACAUGCUUUCAAGGCAAAACCCUAGACUCUUGUUUAUCUUGCAAAAUAAUCCCCUCAUUAGAAAAUUCAUGCUUUAGGGGGUCCAAAAGUGUAAAAAUCGCUAACAGAACCUUAUAAAUGACCCUGAACCAGAACGAGCCCAAAUGAUCCUACCCUCACCCUGAUCAGGAUGAGGAGGGGGAAUACAUACUAUAUGCUUUAUCAUGACAUUAGGCAACCAUAUACGAAGCAGAUCCACAUUCCAAUAAUUAUCAAGGAGCACCCAAUCCUUCAAAGUACUCUCCAAAUCAAUACUAAAAUGAGCACACAUAGGUAAAAAGGGGGCCAACAUCAGGAACCUAAGAAUCUUUCCAGCCACGGAUUGUAGAACCAUCACUAGUAGACCACAUGAGAUUCUCACAAAAAAGGGGUCACACCUUAAAAAGGGAAUACCAAAUAUGAGAGCAGUUGCUUUUAUGAAUGGUAUCAGGAAGCUGGUCCUUCCAUCCAUAUUUCGAAUGAAGAACACGAACCCAUAAAGCAUCCUUUUAGAGACAAGAUUAAACCCAAUUUUCAUAAGGAAUGAAUUAUUUUGAUCUUGAAUAUGCCGAAACCCAAGGCCUCCACGAGACCUAGGCUGACAAAUGGACUCCUAUCCUAACAAUGCAAUUUUUGGAUGUCCAUUAGAGCCUCCCCAAAUGAAUUGCCUUUCAAUCUUUUCAAUCUCAUCACACACCCCUUUUGGGACUAACAAAGACUGCAUGAAGUAGUUUGGAAUAGUAAGAGGAACUGAUUAGGCAAGUGUGACAUGUCCCGCAAAGGAAAGUUUCCUAGCUUCCCAAUUUUGAAGUUUACACCUCACUUUUUCAACAAAAAAAUUCAGAGUACUUUAAGUAACAUAACCAUGAAGAAGAGGCACCCCCAAAUAACUCCCUAGAUUUAGAACCUUCUGAAACCCAAAGAACUGACUAAUCUGAUCACAUAAACUAUUUUCAACACCUUUGGAGAAAUACAUAUUGCUCUUCCUAGCACUGAUCUUAUGUUCAGAAAAUUCAUAGAAACGUUUAAGGAUUUCGUUUAACAAAAAGAGCUUGAUCUAUCUCCACUUUACAAAAAAUGACAAGAUCAUCAGCAAAAAAUAGAUGAGAUAAGGAUGGCCAGGUCCUAGAUAACCGAAUCGGAUGCCACCUACCAACUAUGAUUUCAGAAUGAAUAACAUGCCGUAACCAUUGUUAAUAGUAUAGGUACGACUUUUGACCAAAAAAAUUCAAGAGCUAAUCUGAUAGUUCAAGGGUCAAUUUAGAAAUAAAACCAAAAGUAAAUAAAAAUUGAUGGGAUCAAAUAUUUAUUACCAUUGUUGCGCUUGCACCAACAACUCAAUAGAGUAGAGUAUGUUUUAACAGAAGUCAAAGGUUCUCUUUGGUUGACCUCACGAAAUUCCAGAUUAACCACAAACAACCUUUGUGUAUUGCCUCCAUAUCCCCUACCCAUUUUUUCCUUAAAAGACGGUGUGAAUAUUUCAUGAUCAUUUUUAAUAUAUAAUUAAUAAGAAAUUUGUUGAGAAUUAAGUACAUUUUAUGGCGAGCCAUUUAUCUUUUCGGAGAGCAGUCAUGGUGAGAAGAUUAAUUCAAGGAUUAUUUCAAAUUUACAUAUGAAUUUCGUUUCAAAGUGAAAUUUGAUACAUGAAACUUUUGAUUUUGAUUCAAUUGUACACAUUUAUAGAAAUGAAUACAUACAUUUAUUUUCAUAUUGGAUUAAUAUAAUAGUUUGUCUAUGCAAUAUAUAUCCAUUUACCCAUGUCUUGCCUAUGAAUUCUACUAUUGUGGAUGAUACUACAUACAGCAAAAGCUGUACACCCAACGGACUAGCUUUCGGUUCCUUAUCUAUUCAAACUCAGACUUCUACUUACAUCAAAGUGUAUGUGUCACAUAUACAUUCUAACACCCCUAAUCCAUAUCCGUCACCGAAACAGGGUUACAGAGCAUUACUGGAUUUUAUAGAUCAAAUACAGAUAAUUAAUGACAUUUACUAUUCAUAUUCGAAACCAAUCAUAUUCAAUCAUGUUGUCCCCUAACCCAUAUCCGUCAUCGAAACAAGGUUAUAGAGCAUUACCGGAGUUUAUUAGAAACAAGUCAAGACUAAUUCGAAAUCUCAGAGAAUUUUUUGCAAAAUUUUCAAAAUUUUCCUUAUAUUCAAGGGACACACGCCUGUGUGAUCAGGAUGCGUAGCUCACACGGCCAAGUGACAGGCCCUUGUCUUGGGCCGUGUGAGCAUUUGAAGUGAGGCACACGGUCAUGUCCCAGCCCGUGUUUAAAUUAGGGAAGCUACUGAAUUGAGUCACACGACCAACCACAUGCCUGUGUGCUAGGCCAUGUGAACAAUUUAAUUUUUAAAAAUUAGGUGUAGGAUUCACACGGCCAAGACACACGUCUAUGUGUUAGGCCGUGUGUUUCACACGGUUGAGACACACACCUGUGUCUUUGCCCGUGUGACCAAUUCUGAGCAUUUUAUUUCUCAAUUUUUUAAGAUGCAAAGGACACACGGCUAAACCACACGCCUGUGUAUUUGACCGUGUGUCACACAUGGUUGAGACACACGCUCGUGUGCCCACCCAUGUGGACAAAAUAAUGCUAUUUCAAGCCUUAUUUCUCAUCCAAAUUUUACCUUGUACCUACAUUGACAUUUUAAUACAUUUCCAAACCAAUUCAAGUCAUUUGAAUCAAGGCAAAUACAAGUAUUGUGUUUAACAUAUUAGCACAUAUGUUCGAGUGAUUAAACUUGCCAAGUUUGCACUUAUGUUUAUAUGUAAAUUUUAUCAAUUAUACUAAGUCAAAUCCUUUCAUCAUAUGUUUUAUAUACCUUUCACCAUAAAACCAAUUUUUAUCACACAUCAACCAUGAUAAGGCCUUAUAUAAUUACAUCAAAGUAUGUUUAACACUAGUCAUUCCAAUGGUUAGUUACAACCAAAAUAUUUUAUCAUUUAAUCUAUUUAACCUAGAGAUGCCAUUAUAUCUAAAGUUAGCUUAUUUCAUAUACCGAGAGAUCCAAGGGAUAGUGAGAUGUGUCUCCGACCAAUUCCAAACUUCACGAGCCUUCGAGUAUUGUAAAACAGAGGAAAAUAAAACAAAGCAAGCAUUUAAUGCUUAGUAAAUUCGCAUAACGAGAAUUUAACUUACCAUUCAUUUACAUUUAAGGUAAGCAUACAAAGAUGCAUUCGAGCGAUUUAAUUAAUAGCCUAAAAUACACAACUUCAUCAAACAUGUUAGUCAUUAUUCCACAUAAAUUUUAAGAAUCAAACAUGAGCUCAUCAUAUAAUAAUUUUAACGUUACAUGUACAUUUCCAUAAUAGAUCAUUUCAAAUUCAAUUUAGCCAUGGCAAAAGUUUAACCAUUGAAUUUAUUUGAAAUAUCGAUGGAUAUGCUCAUGUAGUACACUUAAAGUGUACAAAACUGAAAAUUUGUCAAUUCAUAUCUAGGGGUACCCAUUAGGGCACAUAAAUAGGAAGCACUCUCUUAAGCCAUAUAACAGGAUGCUCAUAUGAGCCAUGUAACAGGAAGCUUAUCCGGGCUAUAAUAGGUAACUCGUAAGAGUUCAGAACAGGAAGCUCAUUGAGUCAAAGCUUAAUAUGUAACUUCGAAGAGCUAUUAUUAGGGAGCUCCGUAUAGCCAUAUAACAGGAUGUUCAAGAGAGCCAUAUCAAGAAGCUCAAAAAGAGCCUAUAUCAGGAUGCUCAUAAAGAGCUGCGUUUGUGUCUGCAAUAUAUGCAGGAUCACAACCGAUCAUAUAACAGGAUGCUCACAAAAAGCUGCAGUAGCUAGCAACACAUGUAGGAUCACUAACGAUCAAGAUGCUAGUAGAAAACAUAUAAUAGGGAAGCUCGAGAGGAAUUAUAAAAGGAUGCUCGUAAGAGCUAUGGUGCGUUUGCAACAUAUCCAAGACCACAACCAAUCGGGAAAUCUUGUAUCCAUCAAAUUCCAUCUAUUCAAACGGGACUUAUACUUAUUGAGCAAUAUUAGGCAUGUAAUUAAUUUUACAUUAAACAUUUAUAUAAUUCACAAAUAUUCAACAUUCAAUUCCAAACAUAGUAAUAUACAUGAUCUAGUUACACGAGUUUACCUCGAUAAGCAUUCGUAUACAAGAAUAUACUAAUUUGAUAAUUUUUUUCCUCGAUCCAACUCCGUACUAGGUCUUUCCAUAUCUAUAUAACUGAAUUUAACAUCAAUUUAAUCCAUUUCAUACUCAAUUGAAUUCAAUUCACACCCUAGGCAAAAUUACCAUUUUGCCCCUAUACUUUUCAUAAAUGACGAUUUCGUCCCUAGGCUUGGAAAAUGAAAUUCAUGCAAUUUAAUCCUUAUUCCAAGCCUAACAAAUUUUUACAUAUAACAUUUAUAGCACAUAUAUUUCAUAAAAAUAAAAAAAUUUCCAUGAAUUUUACAUCUUUACAAUUUAGUCCAUAAAUCACAAUUUCAUGAAAAUUCACUUUACAAAAGUUGUUUAUCUAUCAACAACCUUUCGAUUUCUACCAUAAAUUUUAAAAUUUUAGCAUAUUCAUCCAUGGAAAAAUCGAGAAAUUCUCUUUCAUAUUCAGUAACCGUCAUGCGGCCUUGCUUCAAAUCGAGAAAUUCUUUACGCUUUUGGUCCAUAAACCUCUCACUGAUGUAUUUCUUCCGUAAUUCCUCUUGACAGAACUCCCAUGUGACCUUUUGUUAGGCACCACUGAGACUAACGUCUUCCACCAAUAAUAUGCUGAGUCGUCAACAGCGAUAUGGUGCACUUCAAACAUUCUUCAGAAGUACAAGAUAAUUAAUCGAAUACCCUGAUGGUAUUCUCUAGCCAGAAUUCUGCCUUUUCAGGGUCAUCAUCUCUAUUAGAACGGAACUCCUCGGCUCCAUGCUUCCAGAUCUUAUCCAUUGAAGGUCUAUUCCAUCUCUCAAAGUCUAUACCUGGGGUACUACGGGGACAGGUUGAUGGAUAGGCGGGGGUAGAGGGGGUUGAGCAUUCAGGUUCACUCGGACGAACUCCGUGUACCACUCAUUUAUCAUGUGGAGAAAGGCCUCCUGAGCCCCUUCUCCUCCUCCUUGACUAACCAUAGGAGGUUGAUUAUCGGAUGGCAUCUCUCUUUCAGUGGGAGCCGGUGUGUUACUUUCUACGUCAUCUGCCAUAGUUCGAUCGGGAUCCAUUACUAUAAGAAAACACAUUUAAAAGUGUCAGGAGACACUAUCACAAUUUUAUUUAUGGCAUGUAUAUCUAGACUCAUACACAAGCUAAGUUAGUCCAAGAACCGACUAAAUCGGAGCUCUAAUAUCACGAAAUGUAACGCCCCAAACCUGUGCCCACAUCGGUUUGAAAUAUGAGGCAUUACCUAACCAAAACUUAUGCAUAAAAACGUCUUCUUAACAGCAAAACGUGGUCAAAUUAAAAAAAUUACAAUUUUAGAUAUAAACUCCUCAAUAAGAGCUUACAGGGUUAAAACAUUCAUAGAAACCCAUUAGAAAUUAAUCUGGGGCCCUAAAUGAACCCUAAAAAUAACACCUAACACAAGGGCACAUGCCCGUGUGGGAGGGGCAACAUGCCCUUGUCCUGAACCCGUGUGAAUUAAUUUUAAAUGCACACCUAAAGGGGUUUUCACAUGGCUUGGCAUAUGCCGGUGUCCCUGGCCUAUGUCUUUCAUAUGGCUAGGACACGUCCGUGUGCUAGCCAGUGAGAAAAAGACUUGGACAUUCUAUUUCUGACGUCAGCAAUCCAUAAGGGCCACACGGCCAAGGCAUACGGCCGUGUGCUAGGCAGUGCCCUUCACACGGCUGAGACACACGGUCGUGUCUCUAUCCGUGUGUUUACUACCAUGCAUACGGACUUAAAAUUUUACGUGUAGGGGACACACGGCUAAACAACAGGAUGCUCAAGUGCUUCAACCAACAGGAUGCUGAUAUGAAGUUACUUGAUUACGUUUAGGAACUUCUUGAAUUGAAUCUCCUGCUUCUGCUUUUGAAGUCUUUGAGGGUAGGGUGGUGGUGGUUUCUUUACUGAAACUGGUCGAUUCAUCUUCUAUGGCAAUUCUGCAUCUAACGGAGUUAUUAAUUGAUUAGAAUUAGCUGGUUCUGAAAUUACCUUGUUGGGUUUUGCAUAUUCUGGUUCUUUUGAAACUGGAAUUUCAACACUCGGUUAAACUUCCUCUAAAUCUUAAGUGUCAGCUUGCUCUUUUUCAGCUUCGAUGGUGUUGGGCUCUACUGUCUUUCCAUUCCUCAAUGUCAACGAUUUGCAAUUCUCUUUCCCCGGAUUCCUCAGAUUCUCCAUAUCACUAGGUAAAGCACCUUGUGGUCGGUUCCAGAAUUCAAUAGUAAGCUGCCCCACUUGAUUCUCCAAAUUCCUUAAAGUAGCGUCAUUUUUCACCAUGUAUGCCUACAAUAAAUUCUCUAAGCUAUUGGAUGAUUCAGCUUGAGCUGGUUUCUGAACUUGUUGGGGAAAACUAAGCGGCUGGGUUGGUCUAGGUUGGGCGUAAGUGUUACUGGUUCCAGCCUUUUGGUUACUCCAGGAAAAAUUAGGGUGAUUUCGCCAUGAUGGGCUAUAGAAAUUGGAUUGCAGUCCUUGCUUUCCAUGAUGUUGGUUCUGAUUACCUAUAACAGCCCGAUUUAGACCCUAAUCGAAACGGUGGUUUAGGGACAAAAAAUCUGAGUCAGAAAAAUAUUUUAAAAUUAUUUUCUAUGUUUAUUUUGUGUGAAUUUAUAUCUGUGAAAUUUUCGUGUUUUAAUUUUAUGUUUGAGUGUCCGAUUAAAUAAAAGGGCUUAAUCGCGUAAAAUGAAAAUUUGGUGGUUAAAUGUGAAAGUGCUUAUUUGUUGAUGUCCUUGUAAGUGAAGGCAUUUAUGAUGCAAUUAGACCAAAAGUAAAUAUGGUGCACAGUCAUGACCUUAGCAUAUAAUGGUUUAUUAUUUAAUGUUAAAGGUUAAAUAAGUAAAAUAAAAAAACAUAUUAAUAUAUGUUAAAUUAAAACAUAAAAUAAGGCAUGUUCAUUAUUUUCUUCUUACACCGAUUAUAAACAAAAUAAACAAAGAAAGAAUAAGGGCUAGGUUCGGCUAUCUUUCUCACCUUGAUUCAAGGUUCGUACUUAGUCAGUUUUUGAUAAUUUUUAUGUUUUUGGGAUUGUUGCUUCGAGUACUACAAAACCCAAUCUUUAAUUUUUGAUUUUGUUGAAUAUUUUGAAUUGUGCCAUUGUUGAUAGUUGGUGAUUUUUGUUGUUUGAGGAUGAAAAAUGAAAGAUAUGUUUUAGAUUAACAUGUUUUGUAUUGGAGUUUUUGAUGAUUUUGAGUAAUUAGGACUAAAUUGCAAAAAUAAUAAUUUGAGGGACUAAAAUGUGAAAUUAAUGAAAUAUAUGGAUUUGUAUGGUAAUGGGUAAGAUUCGGCCAAACAUAAGUAUUUGGAAAUUUUGUGUAUUUUGUGUUUUGUAUAGUAGGGACUAAAUUGUAAAAAUUGUAAAUGUGAGGGGUAAAAUGGUAAUUUACCCAUUUAUGUGUUUUUGGACUAAAUCAAGAACCAAAGAAAUCAGAUUUGGACCAAGGAAAAAUGAAAGUUGUCAACUAGUAGCCCCGUCCCGUUUUACUACGUCCGAGGUAAGUUUAUAAGCAAAUAGACAUGUUUAAUUAUAGUUAAAUGUAAAUAUUAUAUGCUGUUAUGAAAUAUGUGAACAUAUACAUAGCUUUGGCCGAAUAUAAUUAAAUUUGGCUACUACACUUUCGAGUUCGAUUCGACCGAGAUACGACGUCUGAAAGCCCUGUAUGAACCUUAGGAAUAGCUAGGAUAUGUAUGUCAUGACAUAAGAUUCCGAUAUGUGUGUGCGAGUAAGACCAUGGCAUCGAUUUAUGAUUCUGAUAUGUGUUUACGAGUAAGACCCUAUUUGGGACAGUGGCAUCGAUAUGUGGUUACAUGUAAGACCACAUUUGGGACGUUGGCAUUGUACGAUUUAUGUGAUUAUUCGAGUGUCCUAUCCAAUUGUGAAUGGUUCAUCAGGAAAAGGUAAAUCGCGAUCGAAUGUGUAAAUAAGUUAAAAAGCCAAGUAUGGUUUAGCUUGUUAGCUAUUGUUAAUGAGGUAUGUGUGAGACUUGAAAUUUGAUGAGUUUUAUGUGAUGCAAAAGACAAAUAUAUAGGAAAUAAACAAGUAUAUUGACUUGAACAAAUAUUAUGAAUAUUAUGGAAUUAAUUUUGGAUAUAUAAAUAUAUAUGUGAUCAUACAUGUGUUCGAUCAUACUAGUAGUAAAUGUAUAUGACAUUGUUAUUUGGAUUCUAGUACUUAUGCGAAUAAGUAUGUAUAUGUGUUUGAUUGUAAAGUGAUGCUAUAACCUAGAAAGUUGAUUUCACAUUCGGUUAAUAUGGUUGUGAUAGCAUUCGGCUGUGGUAGUAAUAAGCAUGAAAAUGCUAUCAUUUAUUUCACUUAUAAAUUUGAAGUUAAGAUUGGCAUUGUUAAUACAAUUCAGCUUAACUUGAAAUGAAUUAAUUAUAUCUUGAAAUUGUUUAUUUGCUUUAAACUUACUAAGCUAUGUUAUCUUACUUGUGUAUAUGAUUCUUUGUCUUAUAGAUUUUGAAGUCAAGCUACAAGCUCGGGAGACUUUCAGCCAAGUUCAUCACACUAUCUACUGUCUUGGUACCUUAAUAGCUAAACUUAAAUUAUGGCAUGUAUAGGCUGGAACAUAUUUUUGAAGUGUUGAUUUUGGUUAUGUAACUAAGGCCAUGCGAAAAUGGCUUGCUACUUAUGUUUAGAUUUAAUUUUAUAUGUGAUCAUACAUGUGUUCAGCCAUACUAGUAGUAAAUGUAUAUGACAUUGUUAUUUGGAUUCUUGUACUUAUGCGAAUAAGUAUGUAUAUGUGUUUGAUUGUAUAGUGAUGCUAUAACCUAGAAAGUUGAUUUCACAUUCGGUUAAUGUAACAUCCCGAAAUAGGGCCUAAACAGAAUAAUGGUUGCGAAACCACGAAUUCGAGGUCAAAAAAAUUUAUUCCUAUUAAGUUUUAAGGUUUAUUCAUUAAUUGAAUAAUUGUGUGAAAAUUUCGUGAAGAAAUUUUAUGUAUAAGUGCCUAAUUUGAUAAUUAGAACUAAAUUGUAAAAUUAGCAAAAUGUGCGUUCUAGAUAAUAAAGGGGAUUUAAUUGAAAUGGGUUCUUAAAGUGGAGGUCCUUAUUUAGUAAUUAGACCAUUAUAUUUAAAUUUGGACAAAAAUGGGCAAGAAUAGGACAAAUUUUAAAGAAAAGCCUUUAAGGGCAUUUUGGUCAUUUAGUAAUUAAAAGAAUUAAAAAGGGAAAAUAAAGCCAAAAUUGGUCCAUCUUCUUCAUGGAGGCCAAAUAUAGCAUGGGGGAAGCCAAGGUUAGGGUUUCCAAGCUUUCCAAUCUCAAUAGUAAGUCUAUUCUAGCCUCGUUUUUAAUGUUCUUUACGUUUUUGGAGUCCCAGUAACUUGAUUUAGCCUAUUCUAGCAAUAAUUCAUGCUAGGGUUCAUAUUUGGAAAAAUACCCAUAGGUUAAAUUUGUUUAUUUUGAUGUUUUAUGGUAGAAUAUAAGGCUUGAAAUUAUGUUAAACAACUUUUGCUAAGCGAUUUUAAGUGGAAACAAGUAAAACGACAUAAUCGGUAAAAAUACCUAAUGUUCAUAAGUACAUGACAGAGUGGGAAUUUGAUGUUUCCAUAGAAGGGAAAAUGUUCAUCGUGUCAUAAAACAUACUAAAAUGGAUAAAAUUUAAUUUCCGAGCCUAGGGGAAAAAUAGUAAUUCUGCAAAGGUUGAGGGGCAAAAUUGUAAUUUUGCCAAAUUUUGAGUUAGGAAAUGUUUAGAAUAGUACAUUAAUUAAAUAAGUGAAAUAUGAUGUUUUAGAUCCCGGAGAGUGAGAUUUGGACCUAGAACGCGAGAAAAAUCAAAAAUCGAGAAAGUUAGUAAAAUGGUUGUUUUGGUAUCGAGGUAAGUUCAUAUGUUUAAUAAGCAUUUAAUUAUGCAUAUUUGAAUGAUAAAUUGAUAUUUUGGCCAUAAAUACUUUAGUAUUGAGUUUCAGAUAUAAUGAUUAAUGUUCGAUAAUAAUUCGAUAUUGGAAAGAGAACUUGUAUAAUUUAUAUGUAAGACCAUAUUUUGUAUUAUGGUUUUGUAUGAUAACAAGAAAGUAUUGACUAGCAUAGUUUGAUGAGAAUAAGUUAAGUUGAUGAUAUAAUGAGAUUGAGAAUGUAAGUAUGUAAGUUGAGUAGCAUUUUAUUAUUAUGCAAUUAUUGUUAUUAGUAUUGUUAUUAUUGAGUUAUGCGACUAACCUUGAGAAUUUGAGCAAGUAUGUUUCAGCUAUGACUUGACAAGGCAUUGAUAUCUCAAAGUCCAUGGUUGUACCAUGGAAAUUAAGGAAGAAUUUAUGGAAAAUUCCAUGUUUAUAACAUGGCAUUUAAGAAGGAAUUGACGGUUAAGGAUACCAUGUAAGACCAUGUCAAGACAUGGCAUUGGCAAGGCAAGGAUCCCGUGUAAGACCAUGUCAAGACAUGGCAUCGGCAUUGAUUGAGGACUCCAUGUAAGACCACAUCAAGAUGUGGCAUUGGCACUAAGACAAGGAUACCAUGUAAGACCAUGUUUGGAACAUGGCAUUUGGUAAGAAAAGGAUACCAUGUAAGACCAUGUUUGGAACAUGGCAUUUGGUAAGAAAAGGAUACCAUGUAAGACCAUGUUUGGAACAUGGCAUUUGGUAAGAUAAGGAUAUCAUGUAAGACCAUGCCAAGGCAUGGCAUUGAUAAGUUCUAUAAGGUAAGGAAAUCAUGUAAGACCAUGUCAAGACAUGGCAUUGAUGAGUUACUAUAAGGAAAAGGUCCCAUGUAAUACCAUGCCAAGGCAUGGCAUUGGUGAGUUCAUAAGGCAAGGAUACGACGCAAGACCAUGUCAAGACAUGACAAUGGUAAGUUCAAAAAGGAAAAGGUUCCCGAGUAAUCCAAAGAGUAAGUCAAGGAAACGACAAGGUGAGAACAUGAAGAAAGAGUAUAGGUAUGCGUUUAAGGCUUAUUUAAUAUUGAGAUUGUAAGUAAUUGAGAUUAUCAAGUAUUAAGUAAGUGAUGAGUUUUCAGUUAUGCUUGUGACACUUUAUGACAUGAUUGGCAAUAUGCCUAUAUUACGAAAGAGUACUCAUGUGUUAAGUGAGAUGUUGUAGGUAUGUAAGCAAGCUAUUAAGUAAGGUGCCUUUUGUAUUCUGAGCCUUUGGUAAGGUUACCGAUGAGUAAGAUGGGAAAGUAAGAACUAAACAUUAUUUAAGCAAAUUAUGACAGUAUAAUAGUAAGCUAAAUUGAUUGCUAAUGCUUAUUAUUUUACAUGUGAAGUAACUAAGCUUUAUAAGCUUACUUCUUUCACUUUCCCAUGUUUCAGAGUACUUAAAAACAAGCUCGGGUUGGAGGUCAUCGGAGAUCACUUCACACUAUCGACUAUCAAGUUACCACAUGGGUAUCGUCGUUUACAAACAUUCUAGUUUAUGGCAUGUAUAGGGACUUAGCCGUUUUGUGUGUAUGUCCUUAUGAUAUGGCUAAAUAAUGGUAUGUAAAUAUUUGAUAAUGAUUAGCUAUUGAAAUGGCUAAUGAAGAACAUAUUUUGGUGUAACACCCAUAACCCGUAUCGAUCGCCGGAAAAGGGUUACAAGGUAUUACCAGACGAAACAUAACUUCCGAAUAAUCAUAUGCAUAAUUUUAUUGAAACUCUUAAAACAGAUCAUUAUUAAUAUAAAUAAAACUAAAUUAAUCUCUUUGCAAAUCAUAUUGCGGUACUUUCUAAACACUUAAUCAGAUUUAUAAUUCAUAAGCAAUAAGCACUGAACAUAUCAUUUUUUUAUCUCAUUGUAUUUGUUCAUACCAUAAAUAUAAUAUAAUAUUACAAUCUAUAAACACAUAUAUAAGACAUAAUAAAUAAAGAUAUUCAAACACAUCUCAUUUUUGACAAGUUCCAUUUGGCACCAUUUAGAAAAUAACAAACUUAAUUCUUUAUAACUUAAAGUACUAUUCAUUUAGUCACUUUACAAAACCUCGGCCGAAUAUAGUAAUGCAUAUUUCAAUGUCCACUUUUAACUUACUAAAUCUCUUUACAAGCGUAUGUUUUUACAUAGAACUAAUUCCAAACAUUAUCCAAAAUUUUCAUAUCAUAUUAAGAACAAUACAACUAUGUAUUUGCAAUAUAACAAACUUCAUAUUCAAGACCAGUUCAACAAAUACAUAUUCAACUACGCACAUACCAUUAUAUAUAAAUCAAUCCAUCACUUCAUAUACUUAUAUGUAAAUAUAUAUAAAUACCAAAUCAUGAUUAAUUUACCAACAUAAUUCUUAUCCAUUUCUUUACUUAAUGAAAGAAUUUUAAUAAGCUAACAUAUUCAUUAUAUAUAAAUAUCAUGUCUUAAACAUAUAUCUCUUACGCGGCAAUAAUUAUUAAUAAACUAACAUAAUUUGAAAACACACAACAAAGCAUCCAAAUUUACUAUUCAAAUGGUCAAAAUCCAAAUACAAUUGUCGAAUAUAAACAAGUUAAAUUCAUAUGCUUUAAAGUACGUAUAGGAAAUAUACUUUUUCCAAAUCACAAGACCAUAUUAAGUCAUUUUAUAUUCGGCUAUUCAAUGAAAGUACACUAUGAAUCAAAUUUUAUACCUAUCAUUAUAAAACCAAAGUUUUAGCCAUAUAUGCACAAAUUCCUAUUUCUCAAUAAAACCAAAUACAAGACAUAUUUGAAUCAAUAAACUCAUGAGUAAAAUAUCAAACAUAACCAUACUUAUAUAUACCAAAACCAAAUCAACCAAAACCACAACCAAACAUAAUAAUCAAGCCAAAGCAUAAAUUCUAAGAUUAACAAAAUGGACAAGCCAUUUUCGCAUGGCUUAUACAUAUAUAUACAACUUCAACCAUAUUCGAAAAGUAGUAUAGCCUAUACAUGCCAUAGGUUUCUAAUUCAACUUUUAAAAGUACCGAAAGCAGUCGAUAGUAUGAUAGACUUCAUUGACGAUCCCUGAGCCUGCAACUAGUCUCCAAAAUCUAUAAAUAGAACUAAAAAUACACACACACAAUAAGCUAUCUUAGCUUAGUAAGUCAUAAGCAAACAUUAACUUAAUAACAAUAAUAAUUUAAUAAGACAUAACCAAACCAUACUUGCAAAUUCAAAUAUCCACAUAUAACUAAACAUGAAUUAAGUUUUGUCCAAACAUGCAUUCGUUCUUUGUCCAAAAUCAUCUUUCAUACUCAAUAUCAAUAAAAACUUCACUUGAUCAAAUACAUACUAUCAUAAUACAUUUAUACAAUUCACAUUUCCUUAGUCAUAAUUUCACAUUCAAUUACCAUAUAAACAAAUGCACAUGUAAAAUUUGGCAUAAGUAUGAAAUUCACAUUUCCAUAUCAUACAUAUAUAUAUCAUUAAACCAAAUAUGACCAAUCAUAUACUUAAACUUAUCGUUUCAUUCACUUCAUUCAUAGCUCAAUUAUUAAUUCAAAUAUUAUCUCAAUGGCAUUGAUAAUUUAUUAAGGCAUAACCAAGCCAUACUUAUGAAAUUUAAUUACCAAACAUUUAUCUAUUCAUAAAUUAUAACUUCCAAACACACAUUGCUUCAUUAACAUGUUUAAUAUCACAUAGACCUUAUUUUGCCGAAUAUAUAUAUACUUCCCUAAAAACACGUUCUAAGGUUCACAUUUCAAAUACCUACUAAUCAAAUGCACAUAAAUCAUUUAAUAUCAAUAUGAAUUUCACAUUUCAAUUUAUUCUUCAUGUAACAUUAGGCCGAAUAUAAGCUCAAAAAUCAAACAUUAAUAUCACAUACUUGUACAUUAAUCCACAUAUAUAUUUUCAUAUACACAAUCACUACCAUUAACGUCAUAUAUAACUUGUAUCACAUAUCAAAUAAUCAACUUACCUUAUAUCCGAAAAGGUAAUAAAUUGUCACAUACCUGUUCAUUUUAACUUGUUUCCACAUUCAUUCGUAACUUAUCCUGGCCCGUUGAACCAUUCAGAAUUAAAAAGGAUACUUAGAUUAUAACACAUAUCAUACAAUGCCAACGUCCCAGACAUGGUCUUACAUGUAAUCACAUGUCGAUGCCACUGUCCCAGACAGGGUCUUACACGAAUCACAAUUACGAUGCCAAUGUCCCAGACAUGGUCUUACUCGAAAUCACAUAUCGAUGCCAACGUCCUAGACGUGGUCUUACAUGAGAACACAUAUCAGAAAUCCUAUGUCAUGACAUAUGUAUCCUAGAUAUUCCUAAGGUUCGUACGGGGCUUCUCGGACGUCAAAUCUUGGUCGAAUCGAAUCGUAAACAUAGUUCCCAAGUGUACACAUAUUUGGCUAUCAUUUAUACAUUCUUCAAUAUAUCAAUUCAGCACAUGUAACUUAUUUUUAUUAAAAAAAAUAACUGUGUUUAUUUGCUUAUCAACUUACCUCUGACAACGGUAAUCAGAACGGGACGAUUAAUUGACGAUUUUAGUUUUUCCUCCGAUCCAAAUCCGAUUUCUUUGGUUCUUGAUCUAAAUGUAUUCAAAAUAAACUAAUUCAAUAUAAUUUCAUUCAAUUUAGUCCAAAAACACAUAAAUGGGUAAAUUACCAUUUUACCCCUAACAUUUACACUUUUUACAAUUUAGUCCCUAUUGAACAAAACACAAAAUACACAAAAUUUCAGCAUACCCAUGUUGAGCCGAAUUUUACCCACUCUCAAGUAAAUACAUAUAUUUCAUUUAUUUCACAUUUUACUCCCUCAAAUUAUUAUUUUUGCAAUUUAGUCCUAAUUACUCAAAAUCAUCAAAAACUCCAAUACAAAACAUGUUAAUCUAAAACGUAUCUUUCAUAUUUCAUCAUCAAACAACAAAAAUCACAAGAUCUCAUCCAUGGCAUAACUCAAAAUAUUCAUCAAAAUCAAAAAUUCAAGCAUGGGUUUUGUAGUACUCGAAGCAACGAUCUUAAAAACGUAGAAAUUAUCAAAAAUCGAGCUAGUUACAUACCUUGAUUAAGCUUCCAAAGUGUGAUAGCCCUAAUGUGACCCUAGUCGGGAAGUGGUUUUGGGACCACAAAACCGAGUCAUAAAAAUAAUUAGCUGUCAUGUUUGAUGCUUAUUUUAUGUAUAUAUGCAUGUGUGAAAAUUUCAUAUUUGAAUUUUGUUAAUUCUAGGUGAAUUUUAGUAAAUAGGACUUAUGUGAGAAAAUUUAGAAAUGUGCUAGGCAAAUGUAAAGUGGCCUAUUAAUGCAUGUUAUAAAAAUGAUGGGUUUGCAUGUCAAAUUACCCAAAAAUUGAGCUAGUGGCCGGCCAUGCUAUGGGUGGAAACAUGUUGUAAACAUGUUGUGUUAGUGUGUUAUGUUAGAAAGAAUAAAAAAAAGGGGUUAGUAUUAAAGUAAUGCAAAGGGAGGAGUGAUGAACAAAAAAUUGUCUCAUCCAUGUUUCCCCCCCAUUGCCGUGAAUUGAAGAAAGAAAACAAAAAAAAAGUGUUCAUUCUUGAACAUCUUUGGCCGAAUAGGGGAAAGAAAGGAAGGGAAAGAGCUUGGAGAAAAUCGGCUAUGGUGGUUCACUAGAUUAAGGUAUGUUUAAUGUUGCUUUGAAAGUUCAUACAUCCCUUGGAUGAUUAGUCUAAAUUCUAACUAUCUCAUGGAUGGAUUUGGGGUUAUUAGAGAGUUAGUAUUCGACUAAGAGGCUUCAAAAGUUUCGGUUGAAGCCUUGAUACUAUUAGCAUGUUAGCUAUAUGGAUGUGUUAUGAUGCUUGAGGUGUUAGAUAAAUUUGAACUCAUCACCAAGUUCUUUAAGCAACUCAAGUUAAAAGUUUCGGUAUUGAGGUAUCUUGAGCAUUCGGCCAUGGUAGGAAGUAGAAGAAAAAUAUGGUUGUUGUUAGAUGAAGUAGAGUCUAACAAAUGAGCACACAUGUGCAUUAGUUGCUAGAUGGAGAAGAAUCGGCUAGCAAGUUGUGUGCUAAGGCCUAAUAUAAUUUUGAACAUUAUUGAGUAAUGUAUGUGUUUUGGAAUUGAUGGAAUGGAGAGUAUGCUUAAAUUGUGUUAUGAACAAUUAUAUGUUAAAUCAAGGUUUGCUAAGCUAGCUAUUAAGGUGAAGUGCAAAUGUUAGUAUUUGGUUUCUAGUGUAUAUAUGCGUAUUAGCCGAGUUUUGAACUUGAAACAAAAUGGUAUUUAGUCAAUACAAGUGACCAUAUUUGUAGAAUGUAUUAAGUAUACAAUCGGCCUCAACAUAGACAUGCAUAUUCGGCCACAUGAAUGAGUACAUAGGUUGUUGUGUAUGUUCGGCCAUAGGUAAGCAUAUUGAUGGAUUUAUCUUGACUUAGAAAAUUCGGCUAAGGAGAAUAUUGGCUAAUAUGUUGAAUUUGAUUCGUGGUUUCAUACAUUUAUGACUCUAAUGCCUAAUAUAUAAGGGCAAAGUACCUUGAAUUCCUCUUUGAUGUUCAAAUGAUUAAAUCAAUUUAUUUGUUAAUAUUAAGCUCAAGAGUAAAGGGGAACUAAAUCCGAUAAAGGGAAGGAAAAAGUGAUCGAAUAGCCAUCGAAAUUGUUCGACAACAUCCGAGGUAAGUUUUCGAGUAAUGAGACUUAGUUUAUGAUUUGAUUAAGUCAUGACGUAUGAGCAUAACAAAUAUACGAUGAUAUAAUGAUUCUACUUGAACUAUGUGUUGAGUUAAUUAGUCUAUACGUAUGACGGGUAGCCGUAUGUGCAUAGAGAUCAUGUCAUAAAGAAAACCAAACCAUGCAGUUUGUAAGUGGCUAUUGAGCCGAAAAUGGGAAUGCUUAAUAGGUGACUUGUGUUUGAAUUCUAGUUAUGAAAAUGAAAUAGAGAUGUGUCAUGAUUUAUUGAUAUGUGCAUGAAUACUCGGAUGAUAACCGGGCUAAGUCCCGAAGGCAUUUGUGCGAGUUACUAUUUCCGGGCUAAGUCCCGAAGGCAUUUGUGCGAGUUACUAUUUCUGGGCUAAGUCCCGAAGGCAAUUGUGCGAGUUACUAUAACCGGGCUAAGUCCCGAAGGCAUUUGAGCGAGUAGCUAUAUCCGGCUAAACCCCGAAGGUACUUGGUUGGGAAUGAGCAAUCUUGCUCUAAUAAUAUCAAUUAACACGCUCGUAAAAUCCCAACGAUGAGGUACGUUUCGUAUAUGCAUUUGAGUAGUGAUCCCGUUUAAAUAUUAUUCGCUCAGUCGAUUAAUGAGCUUCCGGCUUUUGGUUAAGUUGAUCCCUUAUGUAUGAAUAUAAGGGUUGGAAAUGUGAAGUAGGACUGAUUGUUGUGAAUAUGUGUAUAUGAAAUUAUCUGUUUAGUUAUAUGAAAUCUAUAUUUCAGUUGUGCCUAAUUUCAUUGCUCAAAACUUACUAAGCAUUAAAUGCUUACUCCGUUCUUUGAAUCUUUGUUUUAUAGAUUUUGGUUCGUCAGCUAUCAGACUCGGGAUUAUCGAAGUCGAAGUCGUCCACACUAUCAAAGCCCUUUUGGUACACUUUUGGUUGAACUUUGAAAAUGGCAUGUAUAGGACUACCCUUUUUGUUGUUGGUCAUGUACCCUUUGGUUUUGUAUAAAUUUGGAUAGCCAUGCGAAAAUGGCUUAUAUACACUUUGAGCAUAGUAUUAUAAUCAUUUUGUAUGUUGUUCAUUAAGAGGUAUGGAAAUGUUUGGAAACGAUUAGCCAUUGGAAUGGUUAAUCAUGAUCAUAUUUUGUGCUAUAUAUGCUAAAGGGCUAGUUGAAUCAUGGAAACUAUGAAAUAGGUAAAGUCUACCUUAAAAACAGAUGCUGACAGCAGCAGUGGUGUGGAUUUGAAAAAUCACUAAAAAUAGUAAAAAUGGAAUUAAAUAGUGAAUAAAUUAUGUAAUUGAACCUUGAUGAAUAUAUUUUCAUAGGGAAGUAAUGAAACGAUCAUAUGAAUAGUAUUUUAUGAGAUUUUAAUGUUUUUGUAAAAUAGGGCCAGAACAGUUUCUGGAUUCCCUAUUCCAACUUUGGAAAUUAAUUAUAAAUUAACCAGAGAUAAUUAGAAGCCAUGUCAUAUAUUUAUAGAUUCCUUUUCGAGUCUAGUUUCUAUAGAAACAAACAGCAUCAGUAUUGAAGCCCUGUACAGGGAGAUAUCCAAGUUGUAAUGCAUGAAGGUCAGAAUAGUUGAACCCUGUAACAGGGGAGACUUUAACUAAUAAACUGUACUAAUUGGCUGACCAAAAGUUCUAGAAAACAAUUUGUAGAUGGAUAUAUGAGUCUAGUUUCAGGAAAAAUUUACAGAACUGGUUUUCGAGUUUUGGAACUCGAGAUAUGAUUUUUAAGAUGAAAGUGACACAAUUAGCCAGCUCGUCUGGAAUUUUAAAAUGGACUGUGCAAAUAAGUGAAUUAAGUCUAUUAACCCCUCGUGUCCGACUCCGGCAACGGUCUCGGGUACGGGGUGUUAUAAUUUUAUUGGUAUCAGAGCUACGAUUUAGUCGAUUCUAGGACUACCGUAAUAUGUUUGGGUCUAGCUAUACAUGCCAUUAUGUAAUUAUUUGAUAGUGUGGUGAUUUCUGACAAUUGAAAAUGUGUUUAUUUAUAGUAAUGGAUCCCGAUCCCGACCGAGUGGUAGCUGAUGAUCUUGAGAGUGUAGCGCCUGCUCCAGCACAAGGGAUAGCACCGGCGGACUCUCAACCUAUUGCUAGUAAUCCGAAUGAUGAGGCUAGACAAGCUUUUUAUAGCGUGAUGAAUGAUUGGUUCAACCAAUACAUUCGAACUAAUACGGCUGUUCCACAACCUCCAUUCCCAACAAAUACAACCCCCACACCUACAAUACCUCCGGUAACUGACCAAAUAAGGUCAAAUAAGCCCCCAAUUGACAGAAUCUGAAAACACGGGGCUACUGAAUUUAAAGCUACGGACAGCGAUGAUGCCGAACAAGCAGAAUUUUGGUUGGACAACACUAUUUGGGUACUCGAUGAGCUAUCUUGCACACCCGAUGAGUGCCUAAAGUGUACUAUCUCCUUGCUACGUGAUCCUGCCUACUAUUGGUGGAAUACGUUGACUUCUGUUGUGCCCAGAGAGCAAGUAAGUUGGGAGUUUUUCCAAACUGAGUUUUGAAAGAAGUAUAUCAGUCAGAGAUUCAUUGACCAAAAACGGAAGGAAUUUCUUGAACUUAAACAAGGUUCCAUGUCGGUUACCGACUAUGAACGAAAAUUUGUGAGGCUUAGCCGGUACGCACGAGAAUGCAUUUCUUCAGAAGCUGUGAUGUGUAAACAUUUCGAAGAUGGACUGAAUGAUGAUAUAAAGCUGUAUGUUGGCAUUUUAGAAAUCUGAGAAUUUGUGGUACUUGUCGAGCGAGCUUGCAAAGCCGAGGAGCUCAGUAAGGAGAAAAGGAAAGCUGAUAUGGGAGCAAAGGAGUUUCAUAAGAGAUCUUCGGGAAAGCCCUUCCAACUAUCAUCGAAGAAAUUUAGAGAUGAUCUAGGCCGAUCUAGAGACACUUCGGGCUUUUCUAGACGAGAUCGCGAUUGACCCCCUGUGAGUGCACGAGUCACUUCGGUCGCCAGUGUUGGAAAUGAUCGUCGAGAUAGAACGGAGUGCCAAUAUUGUGGUAAAUGGCAUUCGGGGAGUUGUAGAUUCCAUGACCGCUCCUGUUACAAGUGCCGAUCAGUUGACCACUUUAUUAAAGAUUGCCCGAGGUUGUCUGAACAGAAUGUAAAUCAGAGUGGGAAACCGGGUGCUACUACUGCUCGAGGUAGACCAUCUAGAAACACGGGAAAUCCUAGUGGUGGUCAGAGAGGAUCUAGAGAUGCUACAACCAGAUCUGAGGCUCGCGCUCCUACUAGAGCUUACGCUAUACGCGCACGCGAGAAUGCUUCCUCACCAGAUGUUAUUACCGGUACUUUUACUCUCUUUGAUACUAAUGUGAUUGCUUUGAUUGACCCUGGUUCUACUCAUUCUUAUAUAUGUGAAACCUUAGCAUCCAGUAAGACUCUACCUGUUGAGUCUACUGAAUUUGUAAUUCGGGUGUCAAAUCUCUUGGGUCGUUACGUGCUUGUCGACAAAGUGUGUAAGAAAUGUCCCCUAGUAAUUCGAGGUUCCUGUUUCCGGCGGACUUGAUGCUUUUGCCGUUUGAUGAAUUUGAUGUUAUUGUUGGUUUGGAUUGGUUGACCGAGCAUGAUGCGGUUGUGAAUUGCAAAAGCAAGACUAUUGAUUUGAGGUGCGCAAAUAAUGAGAUAAUCCGAGUUGAGUCUACUGUCUUGAGUGGAUUGCCAACAAUAAUAUCCUCGAUGUUAGCUCAAAGAUAUGUGAGAAAGGGGUGUGAAGCAUAUCUUGCAUACGUACUUGAUAAUAAAGAGCCAGAAAGGAAACUUGAAUCUGUGCCGGUGGUUUGUGAAUACCCGGAUGUUUUUCCCGAAGAAUUACCCGGUUUACCACUUGUUCGGAAGGUAGAGUUUGGUAUUGAGCUUGUACCUGGGACUACACCGAUUUCGAUAGCUCCGUAUCGUAUGGCACCAACCGAGUUAAAAGAGUUGAAAGCUCAGUUGCAAGAGUUGACGGAUAGAGGUUUCGCUCGACCAAGUUUCUCACCUUGGGGUGCACUAGUAUUGUUUGUGAAAAAGAAGGACGGGACCAUGAGGUUGUGCAUUGACUAUCGUCAACUGAAUAAGGUGACAAUAAAGAAUAAAUAUCCGAUACCGCGCAUUGACGAUUUGUUUGAUCAACUAAAGGGAGCCUCGGUGUUUUCAAAGAUGGAUUUGAGAUCGGGUUAUUAUCAGUUGCGAAUUUGAGAUUCGGAUAUACCCAAAACUGCUUUCAGAACGAGAUACGGUCACUACGAGUUCUUAGUGAUGCCGUUUGGGCUCACUAAUGCCCCUGCGGUAUUUAUGGAUUUGAUGAAUCGGAUCUUUAGACCGUAUUUGGAUCGGUUUGUAGUUGUGUUUAUUGAUGACAUCUUGGUUUACUCAAGAGAUGAAACCGAGCAUGCUAAACACCUGAGAUUAGUGUUGCAGAUCUUACGAGAUAAGCAGUUAUAUGCUAAGUUCAGUAAGUGUGAGUUCUGGUUAAGAGAGGUUAGCUUCCUGGGUCACGUGGUAUCUGCAUCGGGCAUUUGAGUCGAUCCGAGCAAAAUUUCAGCCAUACUUAACUGGAAGCCUCCGAGAAAUAUUACUGAAGUUCGGAGCUUUUUGGGACUUGCCGGUUACUACUGACGGUUUGUAAAAGGUUUCUUGAUGAUAGCCACACCAAUAACGAAGCUACUUCAAAAAGAUGUUAAGUUUGAAUAGACGGAAAGGUGUCAGAAAAGUUUCGAUCAAUUGAAAACUCAUUUGACAGAAGCUCCAGUUCUAGUGCAGCCCGAAUCAGGCAAAGAUUUUGUCAUUUAUAGUGAUGCCUCCCUACUUGGGUUGGGUUGCGUAUUGAUGCAAGAAGGUCGAGUUGUGGCCUAUGCAUCGAGACAAUUGAAGCCACACGAGAAAAAUUAUCCGACCCAUGAUCUCAAACUAGCUGCCAUCGUGUUCGCCUUGAAAAUAUGGCGACAUUAUUUAUUUGGUGAGAAGUGCCAUGUAUAUUCGGAUCACAAAAGUCUCAAAUAUUUGAUGACUCAACGAGACUUGAAUCUGCAACAAAGGCGUUGGCUUGAGUUGUUGAAAGAUUAUGAGCUUGUCAUUGAUUAUCACCCGGGAAAGGCCAAUGUGGUUGCGGACGCCUUAAGCUGGAAAUCACUGUUUGCUUUACGAGUGAUGAAUGCACACUUGUAUGUUCUACCCGACAAUGUGUUAGUAGCUGAAUUAAAGGCCAAACCAUUAUUGAUUCAUCAAAUUCGUGAAGCUCAGAAAGUCGAUGAUGAAUUGGUUGCAAAAUGGGCUGAAUGUGUUUCGAACAUGGAAUCAGAGUUUCAAAUUGACGAUGACGAUUGUUUGAGGUUCAGAAGUCGUUUAUGUGUCCCAAGAAAUUCAGAACUUAGUACGAUGAUUCUGAACGAAGCUCAUUGUAGCCGAAUGUCAAUUCACCCAGGGAGUACGAAAAUGUACAACGACCUAAGACGUCAGUUCUGGUGGCAUGGUAUGAAACGAGACAUUUUCGAUUUUGUUUCGAAGUGUUUAAUAUGUCAGCAAGUGAAGGCAGAACAUCAAGUACCUAUGGGUUUACUCCAGCCGAUCAUGGUACCUGAAUGGAAAUGGGAUCGAGUCACGAUGGAUUUUGUGUCUGGGUUGCCAUUGUCGACAAGUAAGAAAGAUGUGAUUUGGGUUGUUGUUGAUAGACUGACUAAGUCGGCUCAUUUUAUCCCCGUACGUACGGAUUUUUCAUUGGAUAAACUUGCUGAAUUGUAUGUUUCUCAGAUUGUGAGAUUACAUAGGGUACCUAUUUCUAUUGUAUCGGAUAGAGAUCCGAGAUUCACCUCACAAUUUUGGAAGAAAUUGCAAGAAGCCUUGGGCACCAAGUUGCAUUUUAGCACCGCUUUUCAUCCCCAAACCGAUGGUCAAUCCGAGCGGAUAAUUCAGAUACUCGAGGAUAUGUUGAGAUGCUGCAUCCUUGAGUUUAGUGGUUCAUGGGAACGGUAUCUACCUUUGAUUGAGUUCGCUUACAACAAUAGUUUUCAGUCAAGCAUUAAGAUGGCACCUUACGAGGCUUUGUACGGUCGAAAAUGCCGAACACCAUUGUUUUGGACCGAGCUCCAUGAAAGUAAAAUUUUCAGAGUUGAUUUAAUCAAAGAUGCUGAAAAGAAAGUAAAGAUAAUUCGUGAAAGUCUAAAGGCAGCAUCAGAUCGUCAGAAGUCGUACGCGGAUUUAAAACGAAGAGAUAUUGAGUAUCAGGUGGGAGACAAAGUAUUUCUUAAGGUGUCACCUUGGAAAAAGAUACUCAGAUUUGGCCGUAAGGGAAAACUGAGUCCAAGGUUCAUAGGGCCAUAUGAAGUAUCCGAACAAAUUGGUCCAGUUGCGUCUAGAUUGAUUUUGCCCCCUGAACUUGAAAAGAUUCACGACGCCUUUCAUGUUUCGAUGCUUUGACGUUAUAGAUCUGAUCCAUCACACGUAUUUAAUCCAUCAGAGGUUGAAAUUCAAUCCGACAUGAGUUAUGAAGAAGAACCGAUUCGUAUCCUAGCUCGUGAAGUGAAAGAGUUGUGAAACAAAAGGGUUCCGUUAGUAAAAGUGUUAUGGCUCAAACACGGAAUCGAAGAAGCUACUUGGGAAACCGAGAACUCUAUGAAAGAACGUUACCCAAACCUAUUUACCGGUAAGAUUUUCGGGGACAAAAAUUUCUUAAGUGGGGGAGAGUUGUGAUAGCCCUAAUGUGUCCCUAGUCGGGAAGUGGUUUCGGGACCACAAAACCGAGUCAUAAAAAUAAUUAGCUGUCAUGUUUGAUGCUUAUUUUAUGUAUAUAUGCAUGUGUGAAAAUUUCAUAUUUGAAUUUUGUUAAUUCUAGGUGAAUUUUAGUAAAUAGGACUUAUGUGAGAAAAUUUAGAAAUGUGCUAGGCAAAUGUAAAGUGGCCUAUUAAUGCAUGUUAUAAAAAUGAUGGGUUUGCAUGUCAAAUUACCCAAAAAUUGAGCUAGUGGCCGGCCAUGCUAUGGGUGGAAACAUGUUGUAAACAUGUUGUGUUUGUGUGUUAUGUUAGAAAGAAUAAAAAAAAGGGGGUUAGUAUUAAAGUAAUGCAAAGGGAGGAGUGAUGAAAAAAAUUGUCUCAUCCAUGUUCCCCCCCCCCCAUUGCCGUGAAUUGAAGAAAGAAAACAAAAAAAAAGUGUUCAUUCUUGAACAUCUUUGGCCGAAUAGAGGAAAGAAAAGAAGGGAAAGAGCUUGGAGAAAAUCGGCUAUGGUGGUUCACUAGAUUAAGGUAUGUUUAAUGUUGCUUUGAAAGUUCAUACAUCCCUUGGAUGAUUAGUCUAAAUUCUAACUAUCUCAUGGAUGGAUUUGGGGUUAUUAGAGAGUUAGUAUUUGACUAAGAGGCUUCAAAAGUUUCGGUUGAGGCCUUGAUACUAUUAGCAUGUUAGCUAUAUGGAUGUGUUAUGAUGCUUGAGGUGUUAGAUAAAUUUGAACUCAUCACCAAGUUCUUUAAGCAACUCAAGUUAAAAGUUUCGGUAUUGAGGUAUCUUGAGCAUUCGGCCAUGGUAGGAAGUAGAAGAAAAAUAUGGUUGUUGUUAGAUGAAGUAGAGUCUAACAAAUGAGCACACAUGUGCAUUAGUUGCUAGAUGGAGAAGAAUCGGCUAGCAAGUUGUGUGCUAAGGCCUAAUAUAAUUUUGAACAUUAUUGAGUAAUGUAUGUGUUUUGGAAUUGAUGGAAUGGAGAGUAUGCUUAAAUUGUGUUAUGAACAAUUAUAUGUUAAAUCAAGGUUUGCUAAGCUAGCUAUUAAGGUGAAGUGCAAAUGUUAGUAUUUGGUUUCUUGUGUAUAUAUGCGUAUUAGCCGAGGUUUGAACUUGAAACAAAAUGGUAUUUAGUCAAUACAAGUGACCAUAUUUGUAGAAUGUAUUAAGUAUACAAUCGGCCUCAACAUAGACAUGCAUAUUCGGCCACAUGAAUGAGUACAUAGGUUGUUGUGUAUGUUCGGCCAUAGGUAAGCAUAUUGAUGGCUUUAUCUUGACUUAGAAAAUUCGGCUAAGGAGAAUAUUGGCUAAUAUGUUGAAUUUGAUUCGUGGUUUCAUACAUAUAUGACUCUAAUGCCUAAUAUAUAAGGGCUAAGUACCUUGAAUUCCUCUUUGAUGUUCAAAUGAUUAAAUCAAUUUAUUUGUUAAUAUUAAGCUCAAGAGCAAAGGGGAACUAUAUCCGAUAAAGGGAAGGAAAAAGUGAUCGAAUAGCCAUCGAAAUCGUUCGACAACAUCCGAGGUAAGUUUUCGAGUAAUGAGACUUAGUUUAUGAUUUGAUUAAGUCAUGACGUAUGAGCAUAACAAAUAUACGGUGAUAUAAUGAUUCUACUUGAACUAUGUGUUGAGUUAAUUAGUCUAUACGUAUGACGGGUAGUCGUUUGUGCAUAGAGAUCAUGUCAUAAAGCAAACCAAACCAUGCUGUUUGUAAGUGGCUAUUGAGCCGAAAAUGGGAAUGCUUAAUAGGUGACUUGUGCUUGAAUUCUAGUUAUGAAAAUGAAAUAGAGAUGUGUCAUGAUUUAUUGAUAUGUGCAUGAAUACUCGGAUGAUAACCGGGCUAAGUCCCGAAGGCAUUUGUGCGAGUUACUAUUUCCGGGCUAAGUCUCGAAGGCAAUUGUGCGAGUUACUAUAACCGGGCUAAGUCCCGAAGGCAUUUGAGCGAGUAGUUAUAUCCGGCUAAACCCCGAAGGUACUUGGUUGGGAAUGAGCGAUCUUGCUGUAAUAAUUUCAAUUAACACGCUCGUAAAAUCCCAACGAUGAGGUACGUUUCGUAUAUGCAUUUGAGUAGUGAUCCCGUUUAAAUAUUAUUUGCUCAGUCGAUUAAUGAGCUUCCGGCUUUUGGUUAAGUUGAUCCCUUAUGUAUGAAUAUAAGGGUUGGAAAUGUGAAGUAGGACUGAUUGUUGUGAAUAUGUGUAUAUGAAAUUAUCUGUUUAGUUAUAUGAAUGCUAUAUUUCAGUUGUGCCUAAUUUCAUUGCUCAAAACUUACUAAGCAUUAAAUGCUUACUCCGUUCUUUGAAUCUCUGUUUUAUAGAUUUUGGUUCGUCAGCUAUCGGACUCAGGAUUGUCGAAGUCGAAGUCGUCCACACUAUCAAAGCCCUUUUGGUACACUUUUGGUUGAACUCUGAAAAUGGCAUGUAUAGGACUACCCUUUUUGUUGUUGGUCAUGUACCCUUUGGUUUUGUAUAAAUUUGGAUAGCCAUGCGAAAAUGGCUUAUAUACACUUUGAGCAUAGUAUUAUAAUCGUUUUGUAUGUUGUUCAUUAAGAGGUAUGGAAAUGUUUGGAAACGAUUAGCCAUUGGAAUGGUUAAUCAUGAUCAUAUUUUGUGCUAUAUAUGCUAAAUGGCUAGUUGAAUCAUGGAAACUAUGAAAUAGGUAAAGUCUACCUUAAAAACAGAUGCUGACAGCAGCAGUAGUGUGGAUUUGAAAAAUCACUAAAAAUAGUAAGAAUCGAAUUAAAUAGUGAAUAAAUUAUGUAAUUGAAACUUGAUGAAUCUAUUUUCAUAGGGAAGUAAUGAAACGAUCAUAUAACAGUAUUUUAUGAGAUUUUAAAGUUUUUGCGAAACAGGCCCAGAAUAGUUUCUGGAUUCCCUAUUCCGACUUUGGAAAUUAAUUAUAAAUUAACCAGAGAUAAUUAGAAGCCAUGUCAUAUAUUUAUAGAUUCCUUUUCGAGUCUAGUUUCUAUAGAAACAAACGGCAUCAGUAUUGAAGCCCUGUACAGGGAGAUAUCCAAGUCGUAAUGCAUGAAGGUCAAAAUAGUCGAACCCUGUAACAGGGGAGACUUUAACUAAUAAACUGUACUAAUUGGCCGACCAAAAAUUCUAGAAAAAAAUUUGUAGAUGGAUAUAUGAGUCUAGUUUCAGGAAAAAUUUACAAAACUAGUUUUCGAGUUUUGGAACUCGAGAUAUGAUUUUUAAGGUGACAGUGACGCAGUUAGCCAGCUCGUCUGGAAUUUUAAAAUGGACUGUGCAAAUAAGUGAAUUAAGUCUGUUAACCCCUCGUGUCCGACUCCGGCAACGGUCUCGGGUACGGGGUGUUACACAAAGUGCCAAAUAUCUAAAGCUUUCUUUUCUUUCUUUCUUUUGUUACAUUCGGUCAAAAGUAUGAACACAUUCACAAUGCUUUUAAUUAUCUUAUAAUAUAUUGUAUAUACUAUUUACUAAUUUACAUAUUUAACCUUUAAAGUUUAAUUAGAAAACCAUAUAUAACAUAUCUAAAGCCGUCCACAAAUAUAAUAAAUGGCCUUAUUACAACAUUAGUACUUCAUAUUGUAAAGUCAAUAUCAAUUAGGCAUCAUUCACAUUUAAUCAUUAAAUUUUCAUUUUGCGCAAUUAAGUCCUUUUAAUUAAAUCAACACUCAAAUGAUAAAAUUAAAAUACGAAAAUUUCACACAUAUAAAUUCACACAUAAUAAACACUGAAAAUAAUUUUUAAAUAUUUUUCUAACUCGGAUUCUUGGUCCCAAAACUAUCAUUCCAAAUAGGGUCUAAAUCGAACUGUUACAUUUGGUGUUAUGUAUGCCUAAAUGGUAGUUAAUACAAAGAAAUCAUGAAAAAGUUAAAUUAGCAUUAAAACAGUAUUGAACAGCUGCAGUGACGUGAUCUUGAAAAAUCACCAAGAAUAGUAGAAAUGGAAUUAGGUGAUGAAUGAGAUAUAGAAUUAAAGCUUAUUGAGUCUAUUUUUAUAUGAAGGAACAGAGUAAGCAAAAGAAGUGUAUAUUAAGAGAUAUUUGAAUUUUAGUAAGAUAGGGUCAGAGCGAUUUCUGAAUCCCCUGUUCUAAAUUUGUAAAUUCACUAAAAAUUGUAAAAAAAAAUAAUUAGGAGUUAUAGUUUCUAUUUCUAAAUUCCUUUGUGAAUCUUCUUUCAACAGAAACAAACGACAUGGUUAUUUGAAUUCUGUACAGGGAGAAAAUUGAUUCGUAGUGAGGAGAGGUCAGAGUAGUCGAGUAGUGCAAUAGGGGAAAUUUUAACUAAUAAACUGUACUAAUUAAAUGGACCAAAAAUUCUAGAAACAAUUUAAUAAGAAGAUAUAUGAGUCUAGUUUCAGGGAAAAUUAACGAAUUUAAAUUUUGAGUUUUUUGACUCGAGUUAUGAUUUAUUUAGUGACUAUGAUGCAGGUGGGCAGUUUUAUAAGGAAUAAUGAAAUAAAUUGUUUUGAUUUGUCUAAGUAUUCGGAAAAUUUUUAAUGUUCCCAAUUUGGUCCCGACCCGUUUCAAUUGCAUGUUUUAAGGUCUCGAGGACCCUUUUUCCGGACAUAUUGAAUGAAUGUAAAUAAAAUAAUUUUAAAAGCAAAUUUUAUGUCUCGAAUUAGUAAGUUAAGUCAGGUAACGCCUCGUGCUCGACUCCAGCGACGGUCUCGGGUAAGGGGUGUUACAUUUAUUAGUAUGAGAACAAAGGUUUAAUCAGUUCUUAGAAUAUUCAGUAUGAGUAAGAGUCCUGUAACACCCCAAACCCGGCUUGGAAGUUUGGCUCGAACUUGGCGUGUCACUUUGAAGUGUUUUUCGAAAACCAUGUUUCCAUUAAAAACCCUUCUUAAUAAUUAAAAACUUAUACCCUUUUUAAAACCUUGUUAGAAAACCUCAGCUGAAUAACAUUCUUAACAACUUUGUAAAAAUAUUUGUAGUUGCGGAAACUUACUUUAAAAACAAUUGCGGUUACGUGAUGUUUUGAAUAACAGUAGUUGCUUUGGAAAAUCGUGUUCUAAUACUAGCAAUUAUAAGAACAAUAAAUAAAAUUCCAAAUUUGAAAUCCAGAAAAUUACAACGGCUUUACUACAACCCACAUAAAAUAAUUUAAAGGUAAUAAUCAAAACUGUAACAUAACAGUGUGUGUGGCUUCCUCCGAGCCCCUAGCAACCCCGAUCCAUCUAAGGCUGGAAAUUACCUGAAAGGUUAAUAAACGGGGUGAGUUUACGAAAACUCAGUGUGAAAUCCCCUACUAUAAAAAGGAACAGUCAGUCAUCUAAAAGAAUUAAAAGUCUAGCCCCAGCCUUACUUACAAUUUCAGUACCAAUCGGGUCUUAGCCCAUUACAACAGACAGUACCAGAUGGACCUUAGCCCAUUACAGAAUAAGAAACAUUAUCAGAAUUGGAACCAAAAUGAGAAUCAAAAUCAAAAUCAGUAACAGAAUUAGAAUCAGAAUCAAUAUUAGUAACAGAAUCAGAAUCAGAAUCAGAAUUAGGUGACAGAAUCAGAAUCAGUAACAGAAUCAGAAUCAGAAUCAGUAUUAGUAAAAGAAUCAGAAUCAGAAUCAGAAUUACGUGACAGAAUCAGAAACAGAAUGUGAAUGCAAUCCCAACCCAAUCCAGCCGUAUACACCCCCGUACCAACCUUACACCAUGUGGGGAGACAACUUGACCCACCCAUCCGCAACACACCACAGAAUUUGCAGCAUGGCUGCCAGAACAGAUAUCGUGACAGAGUCACUAGAUACAGAUAUUGUGGCACAGCCACCAGAAUCAGAUAAUGUGGCAAACCCACCUAAUAGAAUACGUGGCACAAAGCUAUAGAUAACUGUAAUAACUUCGGCACAUAGCCAUCAGUGACAGUAAUAUAACUGGCGCAUAGCCUUCGGUAAAUAUGAUCGACACAGAGUCGUCAACAAAUAUGUUAGGCACAUAGCUACAGGUAAAUACGUUUGGCACGAAGCCAUAGUCAAGAUGGCACAUAGCCAUAUUUAGGUUGGCACAGAGCCAUUAAUAACGGGUCUAUAAUCGGCACGAAGCCCACAACAACGGCACACAGCCUUCGGUAGCGUAAUCGGCACUUAGCCAUCGAUCAGUCAACAGAUAUUGUGACAGAGUCACCAAAUACAGAUAUUGUGGCAGAGCCACCAGAACAGAUAUUUGUGGCAUAGCCACCAGAACGCUUCCUCCAUACAAAAUCCCAACCCAUGCAACAUGUCAUGUAUGCAGAAUGUCAUGCCCAUAUUUGAAUCAAACAAUCACAGUCAAGUCAUUCAUAUCACCAACAUAUAUUCACAAUCAAAUCCGUCAAACACACAGUCCAAGUCAGUCACUUGCCCACAAGGGCAAAAUAGUCAUUUAACACCCUAGGGGCAAAAUGGUAAUUUUACCCCACAAGGGUAUCUCAGUAAUUCUACCCUACAGGGGUAUUUCGGUAUUUCUACCCUAUAAGGGUAUUUCGAUAAUUCUACCCUACAGGGGUAUUUUGGUAAUUCUAUCCUAUAAGGGUAUUUCAGUAAUUCUACCCUAUAGGGGUAUUUCGGAAAUUCUACCCUACAGGGGUAUUUAAGUAAUUUCACAAUCAAGGGUAAAACGGUAAUUCUGUAAAUCGAGGGUAAAACAAUAAUUUUGUAAACUGAGGGUAAACCAGUAAUUUUGUAAAUCAAGGGUAAAACGGUAAUUUUACAAAUCGAGGGUAAAACGGUAAUUCUAUAAAUCGAGGGUAAAAUAGUAAUUCUGUAAACUGAGGGUAAAAUGGUAAUUCUGUAAACUGAGGGUAAAACGGUAAUUCUAUAAAUCAAGGGUAAAACGGUAAUUCUAUAAAUCGAGGGUAAAACAGUAAUUCUGUAAAAGGAUGGUAAAACGGUAAUUCUAUAAAUCGAGGGUAAAACGGUAAUUCUAUAAACUGAGGGUAAAACGGUAAUUCUGUAAACUGAGGGUAAAACGAUAAUUCUAUAAAUCGAGGGUAAAACGGUAAUUCUGUAAACUGAGGGUAAAACGGUAAUUCUAUAAAUCGAGGGUAAAACAGUAAUUUUGUAAACUGAGGGUAAAACGGUAAUACUGUAAACUGAGGGUAAAACGAUAAUUCUGUCAACUGAGGGUAAAGCGGUAAUUCUUUAAACUGAGGGUAAAAUGGUAAUUCUGUAAAUCGAGGGUAAAAUGGUAAUUUUGUAAACUAAGGGUAAAACGGUAAUUCUAUAAACUGAGGGUAAAAUGGUAAUUUUGUAAAUCGAGGGUAAAACGGUAAUUCUGUAAACUGAGGGUAAAAUGGUAAUUCUGUAAAUCGAGGGUAAAAUAGUAAUUCUGUAAACUGAGGGUAAAACGGUAAUUCUGUAAAUCGGGAGUACUUUGGUAAUUUUACAAGUCGAGGGCAUUUCAGUAAUUGGUAAACUAAAAGUAUUCUAAACAUGGAUAACAAUACGAAUGGGCCUAAAGCCUAUUCUCGACCCAAAUGGGCCCACACGCUCGUGUGGCCCUUUUAGCCCAAACCUAGCCACAGAUAUUCGAUUCACCUAGCCUAGUCCAAUAUUUACUACACAAUCAAACAACUUAUCCAAUUGGGCCCGUAGGCCCAUUGGGCCCACAUGGCCCUUUUCGGCCCAUCGCGGCCCGAAGUAGCCAUCCAACAACAAGAAUAGUGAUAAAUACACACCUGAUUGGAGACUGGAGUUAAUCCACGCUCCGAGCACUCUUAGCUGACGCCCAACCCAAACGAGCACGCCAUAAAGCGAAAGGGAUCAGCCAAG
rnacentral:lncRNA from 1 species